UGGUCCUAACCUUGAAAUCAAUUUUUACUUAAUUUACAUACAAGUCUCCGCACUCCUCUGAAAACGCCCUUCAAGCCCCACUAGGACUAAGGAACUGGUAUCAGGCACAAAUUUUGGCCCAAGACACCUAGCUAUGCCACACCCACACGGAAAUUCAACAGUAAUUAACAUUGAGGAUAAGUGAUAACGACUCAGUUAAAGUAAAAGCCGGCAAAUCUGGUGCCAUAAUUAGAUACCCCACUAUGCUCAACCGUAAACUUUAAGUUACAUACAUAUCGCCAGGGAACUACGAGUAAAACUUAAAACCCAAGGGACUUGACGGCACCCCACAUCCACCUAGAGGAGCCUGUCCUAUAAUCGACAACCCCCGCUUAACCUCACCAUUUUUAGCCUAUCAGCCUGUAUACUUCCGUCGUCAGCUUACCACGUGAACGACUUAGUGAGCUUAAUGUCCAUACGCCAAUACGUCAGGUCAAGGUGCAGCAAAUAAAAUGGGAAGAGAUGGGCUACACUUUCUACCCUAGAAAAUACGAAAAACUACUUAUGAAACCUAAUCAGAAGGCGGAUUUAGAAGUAAAAAGAGACAAGAGAGCUUUUUAACAUAGCACUGAGGCGUGUACACACCACCCGUCACCCCCUUCAAAGCUAACAAAAAGUACUUAACACAACAAAGCACUAAAGAAGAGGCAAGUCGUAACAUGGUAAGUAUACCGGAAGAUAUGCUUGGAAA
rnacentral:rRNA from 1 species